GCUUAACACAUGCAAGUCGAGCGAGAAUCGUUUUGCUGAAGGCUUCGGUCCGAUGCAGAAUGAGGAAAGCGGCGAACGGGUGAGUAACGCGUGGGCAACCUGGCCUUAAGAAAAGGAUAGCCCCCGGAAACGGGGAGUAAUACUUUAUGAGAAUAGAAAAGGGCAUCCUGUUUCUAUUCAAAGCGCAAGCGCUUAAGGAUGGGCCCGCGUAUCAUUAGCUAGUUGGUGAGAUAACAGCACACCAAGGCAACGAUGGUUAGCCGGUCUGAGAGCGCGAACGGCCACAUUGGAACUGAGAGACGGUCCAAACUCCUACGGGAGGCAGCAGUGGGGAAUAUUGCGCAAUGGAGAAGAACUCUGACGCAGCAAUACCGCGUGAGCGAAGAAGGUCGUCGGAUCGUAAAGCUCUGUUAUCAGGGAAGAAGAAAAUGACGGUACCUGAUGAGCAAGUCCCGGCUAACUACGUGCCAGCCGCCGCGGUAACAC
rnacentral:rRNA from 1 species